UAGCCAUGGUGUAGACACUGAUUCAACAGAUCCUUGAAUCUUUCCCAGACUUGAUAGAAUGUUUUAUUGUCCUUUUGGGAAAAUGUUGAAAUCUAUUGUUUUAGACU